UUUCAGUCCGUGCUUCGCAUUGCAUAAACCAGUGAAGAAAACCCGAUAAACAACAACAACAACACCUUUGAAGGAUGAUCAUCGAAAUAAUGAACAAUCUCCUAAACAGAAACAAGAAAGCAAAACCAGAAGCUCUGACCUGGGAGAUUACGCACCCAUGGUUAAGACAUCAGGAUUGGGCCACAGCCAAAGCCUUUGUGAAGGCCACAAAGAUCCUCUACUGAGGUGUUGCUGCUGCCAGAUGUGCAGAUUCCAUCUCCAAAAUAAAUGACUUAAAGCCGAUAAAGAGCUCCCUGUGUGAUAGGCGGGAGUUGAGGACUUCUCCUUACAGCGGUGAUAAUCUUCGAGAGAAGAGGCCGUCACGCUUUAUCUGCCUCCACCACUUCAUGCGUGAAUGGAGGCCACAAACCACCGCUCCUCCUGAUUCAAUCCGAUAAGCUCUGCUUCCCUCGGGCGGUUACCCAUGACAUCAUUCUUCAAACUCCUCUCUAUGCAUCAGAUCUUUUGGGCAUCUUACAAAAGAAAUGAAGUAGUAUGUUGAGAAAGGAUUCAUGUGUGUUCUCUCUGCAGUUUACAUGAAGUUGUUAAACGGCCAAUGGGUGUUGUCUUUUGAAUUCCUGAGUUUCAAUUAUUGUUUUUAUAAAAAAUCACUGCAGAAACUAAGCAUAUACAAGGCAAACCAGAAAAAGUUUUAAAUGAUCUCAAAUGCAGCCACAACAGUAGAGGUUUUCUUUAGAGGAAGUAAUUGUAUACAAGACCUACAAAUGAGAAACAUGAUGACUAAAAAUGACUAAAAUCACCUUGAAGCAGGACAAGAAGAAAUGAAUGUGUUUGUGGUUUUAAAUAAAAAAAUAAUUUGAAUUAAAAGAAAAAAUAGAGGUCGCUAAACAACAACAACGGCGUAGCUUGAUGACACUGUGAAAGAGUAUGGAAUUAUAAGAGUAGUAGUUUUCACCUUCAAUGUCAACAAAAUUGGAUCCCACAGGACUCACAAAUCAUGUUCGUGAAUGACAUAAUGAUAUAAAGUUUUAUUACAAUUACAUUAUAAUGUAAGCCCACAUUGACAAGCAGUGGUGGCUCAUGACUUUUUUUUUUAGGAGGCACAAAUGCGAGACUUGUCAAACAUUGUCGUGUGUGGAUCUUCAUGUCAAAAUAUGUGUUUAGUGCGUCAUGUGAACCUAUGGGCACAGUGUAUAAUGUCAAAAAUACUCUUCAUAAGGCGCUUCGCAAGGAUUUAUGAUAAAAGAGAUGCUUGUGUUUGCUAGAUACUCGCUUAAUCUCAUGCAUAAGCAGAGUUUAGUGUUAAGUGAGUGUCUUGCGAAAUAUCUCUUUUAUCAUUUACUCUUGGCACCUAUUUUGUCAUGACGCACAAUGCACAUUGAACCCUGAAUAUAUAUUUUGCUAUUUUGGAUAGGGCACAUUUUAUGCAGAAUCCACUUUUUCAAGGUGUAAGACAUAAAUGUGUGUUGGUAGUGUGUGAACAGAACCACCCUACAAUGAACAAAUCCACCCUCUCCUUAUUUUUUAAUCCGCAUUAAGCUAAAGCAGUCUCAUUAGACAUGCUGUUUUGAUUCUCUUGUUAAUGUGACAUCACACUGAUAAAGCUACAAUAAAUGAUUUGUGGGGUAUUUUAAGAUGAACCACCUGAAACUUAUAUUACACAUUGUAAAAAUGUGCAUAAUGUGUGCUCUUUGACAGUGUUGGGGAAAGUUACUUGCACCCAGCGCAAUUGACUUUGUCAGUGACGCAUGUAUGAUUCAUAUUUUGCACCGGCACACAGCGGGUUUUUCCCUCAGCAUGAUUGACCAUAAUGUAUAGCGUGCACAAGGCGCACACACUUUUCUUAUCUAAUCUACACAGAUGCAACAGUUAUUUUUGCAAAUCAUAAAUUGUUACAAUAAAAAAUAUUAACACAUGAGAUAAGGGAAAUCUUUGUGGUGAGCAUUGUGGUGAUAGUU